UACAAAGCCCACAGAGGCCAGUAGGCGAUGAAUUCGGUCCACCGUAAGCUUCUGUUUUGUGUUACCUGUCAGAUAUUAAGAAGAACAAACAAUGGUAUCUCAUCCUGAGAGUUAGUUUCUUGAUACAACAUCAACCACAACAAAGUCCACAAAAUACCUAUAGUCCCAAAUAGAUAAAAUCCAGUUUGCCAUGCCAAGUGUGGGCAUAUCUGAAGGAAGAACACAGUGGAGGGAACAUUAUGGGCGAAUAAGUGAAAUAUCACUGGUAGGCCUGCGCAGGAAACAAUCUCGUUAACAUCUUAACGUAAGAAAAGAAAAUAAGUCAAAAUAAGUCAUAUUCCUACAAGUCUUACCUAGUCCUUCCCCGAGUCCUAAAACCACCCUGCAGAAUAUCAACAGCGGCACUGACUGUGCUAACAGAGGAGUGAC